rnacentral:rRNA from 1 species
UGGGGAAUAUUGCACAAUGGGCGCAAGCCUGAUGCAGCCAUGCCGCGUGUAUGAAGAAGGCCUUCGGGUUGUAAAGUACUUUCAGCGGGGAGGAAGGGAGUAAAGUUAAUACCUUUGCUCAUUGACGUUACCCGCAGAAGAAGCACCGGCUAACUCCGUGCCAGCAGCCGCGGUAAUACGGAGGGUGCAAGCGUUAAUCGGAAUUACUGGGCGUAAAGCGCACGCAGGCGGUUGAUUGAGUCAGAUGUGAAAUCCCCGGGCUUAACCCGGGAAUUGCAUCUGAUACUGGUCAGCUAGAGUCUUGUAGAGGGGGGUAGAAUUCCAUGUGUAGCGGUGAAAUGCGUAGAGAUGUGGAGGAAUACCGGUGGCGAAGGCGACCCCCUGGACAAAGACUGACGCUCAGGUGCGAAAGCGUGGGGAGCAAACAGG